rnacentral:lncRNA from 1 species
AUUUCUUUGCCAUUGACAUAAACAUAGUCACAUCUAUCAGAAACUUUGAUGACGUCUUCAUCAGAGGAUUUGCACUCAACUGAUUCGGAGAUGUCUGUCACAGCACUGUUCUCCUCAAUGGAGACCACUUUGAUGGGCACUGCCACAGUUUUUCCUGUGAGAAUUGCGGUGUUCACAAUUUCUGUAUCCAUCGCCAGUGGAACAAUUCCAACAAGAUCCUUUUGGCAGAUGAAGAUUUCAGACAAGGUUAUAUCUGUUGUCCCCUUCCGAGGGUAUUCCACCUGCCAGGUGAUGGGCUGCGUUCCAGACAGGCUGCUAAAACUGGCUAUUUCAAAGUCCAUCUGCACAACCUCAUUGAAUAGACUGUUACUUCUGUUCCUUGAACUUGGUGCCAUCCUCUGACAAAUAACUGUUGUGGUCGAAUGCUUUCCACCAUUCCCCACCUCUUGUUUCACGUCCCAUUGCUGGGGGUCACUUGUCUUUGCAUUGAGAAUAUUUACACCUUUC